CAUAUGAUAUCACAUAUCUGGAAUCUAAUAUAUGGCACAAAUGAAACUUUACACAGAAAAGAAAAUCAUGGACUUGCAGAAUAGACUUGUGGUUUCCAAGGGGAGGGGGAAGGAUUGGGAUGGAUUGGGAACUUGGGCUUAAUAGAUGCAGACUAUUGCCUUUGGAAUGAAUAAGCAAUGAAAUCCUGCUGUGUAGCACUGGGAACUAUAUCUAGUCACUUAUGAUGGAGCAUGAUAAUGGGAGAAAAAAGAAUGUAUACAUGUAUGUGUAACUGGGCCACCUUGCUGUACAGUAGAAAAUUGACAGAACACUGUAAAUGAGCUAAAAUGAAAAAAAAAUCAUUACAAAAAAAUAAAAAUUCUUAUGCAUCUCAGAAAAUUUCUUUUUGUAAUUAUCUUAUUUUGAUUUUUAUGUUUAUUAUAUAUUCUAGUAAUCAUAUUUCUUUUUCAUUUUAUAUGUUCUAGAAAUUAUAUGUGAAAUUAAAUUAUACUAUACUUUUUUGUUUAUUUUGUUCAACUUUAUGCUAGUGAAAAAAGUUCAUGUUUUCUUAUAGUUGUAGACCAUUCAUCUUUAUUGUUAUUUAGGAUUUCAUUUUAUGAAUAUGACAAAAUUAGUUUAUACAUCCUAUUGAUAAUGUAAAUAUAAAGAAUUACAUAGUUAUUGAGUUGCUCCAAAUCCGAGAUGCUGGCUUCUGUCUUGUGGCUUUACUUAUACUAUGUCCUUUCCCCAAGUUUACCUCAUGGCCUCAGAUAAUUUUUUAUGCUCCAGCCAUUACAUCUACAUUCUGGGUUUUAGGAAAAUUGAAAGGAAGGCAAAUACUCUUUUUAAGGACUUUUUUUUUUUAAUAAGCUGGUCACAUCCUUUAUACCUACUCUCAGUGACCAGAACUCAGUCAUUUGUUUAUAUCCACAUACAGGGGAGGGUAGGAUACACAUUUUUCAUUUUAGGGAGUCAUAUUUGUAUGUAUAAUUAGAGCCCACUAUUAUGGAGAAUGGCUAUGGGUUGCCAAUUACCAGUCUGCCACAUUAGUAAUAAAUAAUGUAUAACCAUGUUUCUAUGUAUUAUUUAUAGCUAGUUUGCAUUUUCUUAGACUGGUUUUAAAUUUAUAAGAAAAUCUUUGAUGUUUGAAAUUGAGAAACUACUAUGCUCAUAUUGGUUAAUGUUAAUACAUGUGAUAGAAUUUGGAGGUGACAUUUUGGGGCGGUAGCUAGACCUCAGUAAUGGGAUUAAUGCUGGGAGCUUCAUUCUCCCUUUCACCGUGUGAGGACACAAUGAGAAGACAGUCAUUUGUGAUCCAGAGGGCGAGCUCUCACAAGUCACUGAAUCUGCCAGUACCCUGAUCUCAGGCUUCUCAGCCUCCAGAUAUGGGGGAAAUAAAUGUGUAAUUUGUAAGCCAUCUGGUCUGAAUUGUUGUAGCAGCCUGCAUGUAGCUAGACACUAAAACAUGUUAUUUUUGAUGACCAUUCUUGUAAUGAUUACAGUAUAUCAAUAAUAAUAAUAAUCUGAUAUUUAACAAACUAUGUAUUGGGGGAAAAAACAGUGUAAACACAUUUACAGACUUAAAGAAUUUUAAAUAUAGCAUCAUGUUUUGAUUCUGAGGUAAUAAGAGUAUAUCCCUUUUUAAAAAAGGAAAACAAAACCCCAGUAGUAUUAAUUAUAUAUUACAUGUUAAAUCAUAAUUUGAGCUUCUUGACAGUUUUGAUUUCCCUAAGAUGUCAAUUACUGUAAAUUCAUAGUGUUUACACUAUUUUUGUGAGUAUGGAAUAAAUGUGCUCAGUAUAACUGUCUUUUUGAUAAUUAUAGGUCAUAAAACAUUGAGUUAGCUUCUGGGUAUUUAAAUUAUGUGAAUGCAUAAGAAUUGUAAAAACUAUCUCUGAAUCUCUCAGAGUGUGGUACCAUUAAUACAUAGUAUGCAUGUCCAAAGAAACUAGGAAGAUAACUACCAAACAGAUAUUUCAACUAUACUUGUCAUAAAUUUGAAACUCACUUUCAAGCAUUGCUGCAGACCAGGUACAAACUUUUGCCAUCAGAAUAUAAAGACAAUAGGGUCCAGGUAGCAAUGUGAAUCCUUUGGGAUUAUAAGGAGGCUAUAAAAUGAGAUAAAAGCUUGUACAUCAAUUAUCUGCCUUCCCUUUCUAGCAAUACUGGUUUGGACUCAAAGUGAGAAUCCAGGCAAGGCACACAAAAUUGAUUGCAUGAGAUUUAUUAAAUGAUGUGUAGAGAAAAACAAGCUGAGAGUGUGAUGUCCAGCAGGAAUAUGUUUUUUGAAAAAGGGGAGCCUGGGAUCCACUGUUAAAGAGAGUUCAUGUGGUAACAAUGACUGGUGUUGACUGUGGGUCAGGUACUCGUCUAAGUAUUGUACAUGAAGUAAUUAGUUUAAUUCUCACUAAUAUGAUAAGGUAGGUAUGAUUAUAUAAGUCCAUUUUAUAGAUGAGGAAGCUGAGACAUAAAGAAGUUAAGUAACUUGCUCAAAGUCACACUGAUUGUAACCUGUGGGUCCAGCUGAACAAAAAUCCUUUUGUUCCUGACUAUGUGUCCUUACUGCCUUCAUGCAAUGGACAAAAAGUAAAUAGGCUUUUCAGGUUUCAAGAUUUUCACACUUUCAGAAUGUGUAGAGGAACCAACAAAGGAUUAGCAGAGGGAAACAAAGAACAAAUACAUAAUGGCAUUGGAUGGAAAGUGUAAGUGAUUUUUCCUCCAAAAGGAUCAAAGUGUUACUCAGGGACCCAUAUCUAAAGAGUAGAUUGAUGUCUGGAUUUGGAAAGAGACCAUGGGCCUCAUUCUGCUUUUCUGCUUUGAUAAACCAAAUAUAACUCAGAGUAACUUGUCGAUAUCAUAGUUGAGCUGCCCACACAGGUUGUGAAAUGGUUGAUUCCAGUUUUGAGAAUUCAAGAAAUCUCCUGUGAGGCCACCUAAUAAGUGCAACUGGGAAAAAGGUAACAGUAGACUAGUGUAUUUCCCUGUAAACAUCUACUGUUGGGAGAAAGUGAUGAGUCACAGAGAGGAAGAGCACAUGAUUUCAGAAUUUUUAAAGUCUUAGUUUCUUCCUCUGAAUAAUGUCUCCAGUAUUUUUCAUUUUCUGUGACAUCAAGGACACAGACUGUUGGAGUCUGUUUUUAUGGCCCACAAAAUCAGGAUGAGAGUGUCAACUUGAUAGUGCUGUUUCAAGUGCCAUAUAAAAGGCACAGCACAGUGCUAGCCUGUAUAUUAUUAAUCUUUUCUGAUUGCCUUUGAAAUUGUUUCUACCAUUUCAGUUUCCAAAUACUAUUUCUGAUAUUUAUGUUCUGACUUAUAGUAACCAUGAGUAAAUCUCAUAAAGGAAAGAGGAAAAAGAAAGGAAAGGAGAGUAUUUUAGAAUUUAUUUUGCUGACGGUACAGACUAAGCUGUUCUAACCCCAGGACCCUAGGAACAGUGAGGGCAGGUGGGUGAUUCAGUCAGAGUGUGAGCAACCUUCGAGAUAUGGCCCUUGGCCUUCAUCAUAUGGACGGAGGAGCUUUCCAGAAUGCCACCAUGGCACAGAUCAUGGAAAAGAGAAAUGUGAACCGAACUGCAUGUUGCUCUCAUUUCAUUGUCCAGGACUAAAUCACAAGCUGGAAGACCAAAGCUGGUGUAGACUGUCUGAGGAGACAUGAGCUCAGGAAAAAACUAACAUUUAAAAUACAGUAUUGUUAGUGCUAUGAUAAAUGGAUGAGCAAAUUGCAAUGGUAGCAGAGAUGAGGGAGAAACUAAGUCAGCAUUUUGAAGGAAUGUCUUUUCACAGUCCUCAUCAUUACUGAUUUUUAUUAGUGUGGUAUUAUGCUGAGAAGAUAACACACAUACUUUCCUAUUGAUUCAUGUGAAAGUACACAUUCUUGUGUGAGUUUUAAGAUGUUUUUUAAAUAAUUUUGAUGUUUCCCUCACAGUUUGCUAAGUCUAGCUUACCAAAGUCAUCAUAAUGAGAGAAGCAUGUUCUUCAAGUCAUUUAAGUAAGUGGGUCUUAUCUGAACAUAGCAUCUCCUUUAUUUCUCCAUUUUUUAAGAUGGUAGUUAAAUAUAAACAGAUGUUUUAAAUCGGAAUAGUUGAAGACAGAAAAGGAGAAGGGUGAAGAAGUAGGUGACAUCAAGCCCUGGAAAGAACAGACACCUGAUCUCAAACCAUGAAUUGAGGAGAGGGAAAAGUCAGGGGAGAAAUUAGGACACUAAAGGUGGGAUGGAAGGUAUUCUUAGAUGGAGUUUUGUUGUUAGUUAAAUAAUUAUUCCAAGAGGCAAGAUGUUCUAAAAUCUUCCCUUCAAACCUCAUUUGAAAUUCUUAUGUUAUACCUCCUCACCCCACCCAACCUUGGCUAAAAAGCCCUAGGACUGUUAAAUUAAUAAAAUAUUUUAUUUCUUUUCCUAUUGAAUUCUUUAAGGUGUUGUGUGAGUCUUGAAUCUUAAUUUCAUAAAGAAACUAUCGGUAACGAAUUUAAGAAACAUCCAUUGAUGCCAAGAAUGCCCCCAUAUCCAAAAUGCUAGUUGUAGAGAUGGAAAGAUGCUCAAAGUUCAGUAGGGCAGAGAAACAUGUGGGAACUAACUCUCAUGAUGGCUAAUGUGGUAAGAGAAACAUAUAUAAAGAGAGACAUGAAUUUAUGGAGCAGUGGUUUGCAUGCUGUGGAAUAUGAAUCACACACUCAGGUGUUGUCUAUGGAAGAGGAAAAAGAAUGGAAGUCUGGAGCCUUCACUGGCACUGUCCCCUCUCCCACAUCCUGUUUCCACUGGCUCAAACAGAGCAUGCUGUGCUUUUCAACCGUUUAUACAUCCAGAUUCUACUUGCAUUUUGUUUGGAGGAAAGAGUCAAUAGACAAAAAGAAUUAAAACCCCAUUGUUUCAAGAUAGUACAGCUAAGAGAAGCCACUGAUUCUUCCUUGUUGUUAUGAAUGCAGAUUGUGAAAAUUUUCCCUAGCUAAUUCUGUAUUUUAAAAUAUUUAUUUCAGGAGUUCCCAUUGUGGCGCAUUGGAAACGAAUAUGACUAGGCACCAGGAGGUUGCGGGUUUGAUCCCUGGCCUCACUCAGUGGGUUAAGGAUCCAGUGUUUCGGUGAGCUGCAGUGUAGGUCACAGACGUGGCUCAGAUCUGGUGUUGCUGUGGCUGUGGUGUAGGCUGGCAGCUGUAGCUUUGAUUCUAUCCCUAGCCUGGGA
rnacentral:lncRNA from 1 species